GAAAGAGAGAAAGAUAGAAAGAGAGAGAGAAACGUCGAAACGUCGAAGCGAAAUUUAGCUUUUCAAGUGAGUUUACUCCUCGACUAGGAAGGAUGAACUAGUAAGUUGCAGAGCUUUCUAACAGUUUGUGAGUGAACCGGAAGAAGGGACGUUCGAGCGUGACUGUCGAAAUGGAUAUUCUAUAGCUGAUAGUACAGAAAAUGUUGAUUUCCCGACGUUGAUACCACCCAUCUGAGAAUCUAUAACUAAGACAUUCCUGAACUGCAGGAAGCUUGGAGUUACUACACCCUAGUCACAGCUGUUGUUCUUCCUUACUCCAGUGCAGGACCCAAACCACCGCCAUUCGAAGAAAUACUGAGACAAAACGGUUUCAGCCGCCACGACUCCAACGAUAAAUGGCGUUCCACCGUUUCUUCUCACCUUAAUAGUAUCUUCUCGACGAAUUGAGUCUCUCGUGUUGAUGAAAUGAACGGAAUUAAUUGGUUACGAACUAGUAUAACGGACUAUUAAAUGCAAAAUGCGACUUUACUAGUUUCAUCAGAAUAUACA